rnacentral:rRNA from 1 species
UCCCUAGCUGGUCUGAAAGGAUGAUCAGCCACACUGGGACUGAGACACGGCCCAGACUCCUACGGGAGGCAGCAGUGGGGAAUAUUGCACAAUGGGCGCAAGCCUGAUGCAGCCAUGCCGCGUGUAUGAAGAAGGCCCUAGGGUUGUAAAGUACUUUCAGUCGGGAGGAAGGCGUUGAUGCUAAUAUCAUCAGCGAUUGACGUUACCGACAGAAGAAGCACCGGCUAACUCCGUGCCAGCAGCCGCGGUAAUACGGAGGGUGCAA